GGCGAAAGCGUGGGGAGCAAACAGGAUUAGAUACCUGGUAGUCCACGCUGUAAACGAUGUCGAUUUGGAGGUUGUUCCCUUGAGGAGUGGCUUCCGGAGCUAACGCGUUAAAUCGACCGCUGGGGAGUACGGCCGCAAGGUUAAAACUCAAAUGAAUUGACGGGGGCCCGCACAAGCGGUGGAGCAUGUGGUUUAAUUCGAUGCAACGCGAAGAACCUUACCUACUCUUGACAUCCAGAGAAUUUAGCAGAGAUGCUUUAGUGCCUUCGGGAACUCUGAGACAGGUGCUGCAUGGCUGUCGUCAGCUCGUGUUGUGAAAUGUUGGGUUAAGUCCCGCAACGAGCGCAACCCUUAUCCUCUGUUGCCAGCACGUUAUGGUGGGAACUCAAAGGAGACUGCCGGUGAUAAACCGGAGGAAGGUGGGGAUGACGUCAAGUCAUCAUGGCCCUUACGAGUAGGGCUACACACGUGCUACAAUGGCGUAUACAAAGAGAAGCGACCUCGCGAGAGCAAGCGGAACUCAUAAAGUACGUCGUAGUCCGGAUUGGAGUCUGCAACUCGACUCCAUGAAGUCGGAAUCGCUAGUAAUCGUAGAUCAGAAUGCUACGGUGAAUACGUUCCCGGGCCUUGUACACACCGCCCGUCACACCAUGGGAGUGGGUUGCAAAAGAAGUAGGUAGCUUAACCUUCGGGAGGGCGCUUACCACUUUGUGAUUCAUGACUGGGGUGAAGUCGUAACAAGGUAACCA
rnacentral:rRNA from 1 species